rnacentral:rRNA from 1 species
UACGGGGGGGGGCAAGCGUUGUUCGGAAUUACUGGGCGUAAAGGGCUCGUAGGCGGCCAACUAAGUCAGACGUGAAAUCCCUCGGCUUAACCGGGGAACUGCGUCUGAUACUGGAUGGCUUGAGGUUGGGAGAGGGAUGCGGAAUUCCAGGUGUAGCGGUGAAAUGCGUAGAUAUCUGGAGGAACACCGGUGGCGAAGGCGGCAUCCUGGACCAAUUCUGACGCUGAGGAGCGAAAGCCAGGGGAGCAAAGCGGG